rnacentral:rRNA from 1 species
CCUACGGGGGGCAGCAGUGGGGAAUAUUGGGCAAUGGGCGCAAGCCUGACCCAGCAACGCCGCGUGAAGGAAGAAGGCUUUCGGGUUGUAAACUUCUUUUGUCAGGGACGAAGCAAGUGACGUUACCUGACGAAUAAGCCACGGUUAACUACGGGCAAGCAGCCGCGGCAAUACGUAGGUGGCAAGCGUUAUCCGGAUUUAAUGGGUGUAAGGGGCGGUUAGGGGGGGCAGCAAGUAAGAUGUGAAACCCACGGGCUCAACCUGUGGCCUGCAUUGGAAACUGUUUUUCUUGAGUGCUGGAGAGGCAAUCGGAAUUCCGUGUGUAGCGGUGAAAUGCGUAGAUAUACGGAGGAACACCAGUGGCGAAGGCGGAUUGCUGGACAGUAACUGACGCUGAGGCGCGAAAGCGUGGGGAGCAAACAGGAUUAGAUACCCGGGUAGUC